GCCUCGGUGGUGUAGUGGUUUCUCGCAUCUUCGAUGAGGAUGACACGCGAGUUCAACUCCCGCCUGAGGUC